CCGGCCCAAGAGGCCUUCUUAGUAAAGGGCAGCGGGCAGUUCAAACCGUGGGGGGCCCCCUCCGUGGGGUCACCAGCCUGGCCUGUCCUGGGGGAGUGGCUGAAUGGGUGCUGUGUGCUGGGCCAUCUGGCUCACAUAAGAGUCUGGGGUGAGAGGAGGGAGAAAGUUGCCCACAGCAUGGCCUGAGGUGACCAGGCCGCCUCGGGGGUGAGGCCCAGCCCUUUCUCCUCUCCCCUCCCUUGCUGACAAUAGGAACACUAAGGACACGAGGAUCAUUUCCGCGGGCAUGGAUGGCACUGUGGCCUUGGAAAGCGGGUCUGCCCCUCCCUCUCCCAUUGGUUCCCACGGCUCUCCGCAGCUGGGUCUUCCCUGGCAGGCACGAAAGGUCGUUGGCAUGCACACCCUCCCGGACAUACCGAAGUCAAUGUCGAGGAGGGCGGCGUUGGCACCCUCCACCAGGAUCUUCUUGGGGGGGCCGUGGAGUGCCUCAUACAUAAAGUAAACACCAUCUCGGACCAUG